rnacentral:rRNA from 1 species
GAACGCUAGCGGCAGGCCUAACACAUGCAAGUCGAGGGGUAACAUUUGUGCUUGCACAAGAUGACGACCGGCGCACGGGUGCGCACCGCGUAUGGAACCUGCCUUGUACAGGGGAAUAGCCCAGGGAAACUUGGAUUAAUGCCCCGUAGUACCGUGGCCCGGCAUCGGGAUACGGUUAAAGCCUUCGGGCGGUACAAGAUGGCCAUGCGUCCCAUUAGCUAGUUGGUAAGGUAACGGCUUACCAAGGCUACGAUGGGUAGGGGCCCUGAGAGGGGGAUCCCCCACACUGGUACUGAGACACGGACCAGACUCCUACGGGAGGCAGCAGUGAGGAAUAUUGGACAAUGGAGGAGACUCUGAUCCAGCCAUGCCGCGUGCAGGAAGAAUGCCCUAUGGGUAGUAAACUGCUUUUAUACGGGAAGAAAAAGAGCUACGUGUAGCUUACUGACGGUACCGUAAGAAUAAGGACCGGCUAACUCCGUGCCAGCAGCCGCGGUAAUACGGAGGGUCCGAGCGUUAUCCGGAAUUAUUGGGUUUAAAGGGUCCGUAGGCGGGCCGAUAAGUCAGGGGUGAAAGUCUGCCGCUCAACGGUAGAACUGCCUUUGAUACUGUCGGUCUUGAGUUAUAGUGAAGUUGCCCGGAAUAUGUAGUGUAGCGGUGAAAUGCAUANAUAUUACAUUAGAACACCCUAUUGCGAAAGGCAGGUGACUCAACUAUAUACUGACCCCUNAUGGACCAAAAA